CAACUUUCAGCAAUGGAUCUCUUGGCUCUCGCAUCGAUGAAGAACGCAGCGAAACGCGAUAUGUAAUGUGAAUUGCAGAUCUACAGUGAAUCAUCGAAUCUUUGAACGCACCUUGCGCUCCUUGGUAUUCCGAGGAGCAUGCCUGUUUGAGUGUCAGUAAUU
rnacentral:rRNA from 1 species